GUCCACGCCGUAAACUAUGGGUGCUAGCCGUCGGAUAGCUUGCUAUUCGGUGGCGCAGCUAACGCAUUAAGCACCCCGCCUGGGGAGUACGGCCGCAAGGUUAAAACUCAAAGGAAUUGACGGGGGCCCCGCACAAGCGGUGGAGCAUGUGGUUUAAUUCGACGCAACGCGAAGAACCUUACCAGCUCUUGACAUUUACUGAUAGUUUCCAGAGAUGGAUUCAUCCCAGCAAUGGGCAGUAGGACAGGUGCUGCAUGGCUGUCGU
rnacentral:rRNA from 1 species